rnacentral:rRNA from 1 species
CAGUCGCCGCGGUAAAACGUAGGUGGCAAGCGUUGUCCGGAAUUAUUGGGCGUAAAGGGCUCGCAGGCGGUUUCUUAAGUCUGAUGUGAAAGCCCCCGGCUCAACCGGGGAGGGUCAUUGGAAACUGGGAAACUUGAGUGCAGAAGAGGAGAGUGGAAUUCCACAUGUAGCGGUGAAAUGCGUAGAGAUGUGGAGGAACACCAGUGGCGAAGGCGACUCUCUGGUCUGUAACUGACGCUGAGGAGCGAAAGCGUGGGGAGCGAACAGGAUUAGAUACCCCCGUAGUCCCUGUCUCUUAUAC